rnacentral:rRNA from 1 species
GUUAGUGGCGCACGGGUGCGUAACGCGUGGGAACCUGCCUUUAGGUUCGGAAUAACUCAGAGAAAUUUGAGCUAAUACCGGAUAAUGUCUUCGGACCAAAGAUUUAUCGCCUUUAGAUGGGCCCGCGUUAGAUUAGAUAGUUGGUGGGGUAACGGCCUACCAAGUCGACGAUCUAUAGCUGGUCUGAGAGGAUGAUCAGCCACACUGGGACUGAGACACGGCCCAGACUCCUACGGGAGGCAGCAGUGGGGAAUAUUGGACAAUGGGCGAAAGCCUGAUCCAGCAAUGCCGCGUGAGUGAUGAAGGCCUUAGGGUUGUAAAGCUCUUUUACCAGGGAUGAUAAUGACAGUACCUGGAGAAUAAGCUCCGGCUAACUCCGUGCCAGCAGCCGCGGUAAUACGGAGGGAGCUAGCGUUGUUCGGAAUUACUGGGCGUAAAGCGCGCGUAGGCGGUCUAUUAA